rnacentral:lncRNA from 1 species
AGGCUGCUCGUUGAAUUGGUAGCAACUUUAGGUUCCUAUGUACCUUCCAGAAACCAUAGGCUGCUUGUUGAAUAGGCAGCGACUUUAGGUUCCUAAGGAUUUUCCAAAUACCGUAGGCUGCUCAUUGAAUUGGUAGCGACUUUAGGUUUCCAGGGAUAUGCAGAGAUCGCUAGUUGGUCACAUCGCUAAUUGGUCACAUACAAGAUGCUCAACUACUUACUCUAGCUGGCCACAUAAAGGAUGCUCAACCGACUGAACCCUGUGUGUGUAGCCGAAGCUAGAAUUUUGUAUCCUCGUAGAGAUCACCUAUGUAUUGCACCAGAGAUGCUUAGCUACGAAUGCUAGCUGGUCACAUCGCGGAUGCUCAAAAGAGAUGUUCCUUUAAUGGGUAGGAGGAAUAUUAUUUCGUAACACGAAGAUCGCUAGUUGGUCACAUACAAGAUGCUCAGCCGGGGAUUGCCAGUAGUUGGUCACAUCAAGGAUGUUUAACUACGGUCCAUCUUUGUGGACAACAAUCCAAAAGGCGAGCUACGUUGCGUGCCUCCUUUGUCUCUGACGCUUAGGUCCAAGCGGAUUAAGCCAAAGGCCUAAAAUCUUUCAAUCUAGCUAAGCCUUGAAAAAGAUCAUUGUGGCUACUUCUAGGGAUGUCGACGUAAGCCAUCGUGCUCUACUUACAGUAGGGCAGCCCAACACAUCCAUGUCUGGAUAUUCGGAGUGUGUAGUUUGGAGAGCAUAAUUCGUCCCUGGGCGUAAUUCUUACGAUAGGUCUUUGAUUGGGCACAAUCUUUAAUAAAAACAGGAGUAAGUUGUUGCAUAUACGUAAUAGAGCCAAGUGAUGAAUAACUUAGGAAAUCUUCAUUAAAAAAAUGAGAGGAAUGAUAUUGAACUUAGUUGAAAGGUAGAAACUGCGUAACAACUAGAUAUUCCUUGACUUGCGAGGUAGUGCUCGUUGAGCUGAUUGCGAAGUAGUGCUCAGGGAGAAGUAAGAGGUUAUGCGUAGUACUUAUGCAGGUUGUAGGCAUUCCACUACUUGUCGAUCUCUUUGUCGUUCAUGAUGGUGAGUGUGUAACUACCCUUGCCGCCUACUCUGCUAACCCUAUAUGGAUCUUCCCGAAUAAGAUUCAUCUUUUUUUAGCCUUCUUUUCGGCAAUGAUGAAUGUUUUUCUUAGGACCAAAUCUCCAAGUUGAAACUGCCAGAUUUUUGCCCGUUUGUUGUAGUUGGAAAGAAGCUGUUGUUGGUAGGCUGCAAUGCAGGUGAAGACCUUCUCGAAUUCCUCCUUAGCCAGAUCUAGAUUUAUGGCCAUCUUCUUUCUGUUCUGCUCCAAAAUUGAUAGUAUGGUGUUGAUGUUAGACAUAAUG